rfam:Pan troglodytes isolate Yerkes chimp pedigree #C0471 (Clint) chromosome 19, whole genome shotgun sequence.
GCUGGGCGUGGUGGCACGCGCCUGUAGUCCCAGCUAUUGGGAGGCUGAGGCAGGAGAAUCACUCGAACUCAGGAGGCGGAGGUUGCAGUGAGCCAAGACUGUGCCACUGCACUCCAGCCUGGGUGACAGAGUGAGACUCUGUCUCAA